AGCUUUGCGCAGUGGCAGUAUCGUAGCCUAUGAGGUUUAUUCGAGGCGCGAUUAUUGCUAAUUGAAAAUUUUACCCAAUACCCCGGGGAAGUUGUGGCCUAAUGGUU
rnacentral:snRNA from 1 species